UCUCUGUUAGUGAACUAGCGGAGGGAUUAUU
rnacentral:rRNA from 1 species